CAAGGAACUCUCAAGAGUCUUCAACACCACAGUUCAAAAGCAUCAAUUCUGGCACUCAGCUUUCUUUAAAUGAAAUGGGUGCAGAAUUUUCAAACAUUAGAGAAAUAUAUAUUCGAGGAUCAAGUUCCUAGCAAUUCUAUACUUCGAAGAAAACAGUAUUGUUUUCCUACAAUUUUUCAAAUUUAUGGGGAAACUAUUCCGCAAAUUAAAAUCAGCUGAGUCUGAUAAAAUUAUUGCAUUCAUGGUAGAUUUCUGUGCAAUGAAUAGACACUAAAAACACAAAUGCUAACAUCAAGAGGCCCAGGUUUUAUUGAAGUUAAAAAGGGAUCACUGUUCUUGGAAAACAUGGGAAUUUCUGCUCUUGCUUAAAUAUUGCAGCAGCUGCCGCGAGCCAAAGUUCUGUCCUUGUCUGCAUGGAAGCAACACGUGCAGUUACAGCACUCAAGGGGCAGUUCUGAGGGGCAGGUGUUACAAGGAGGCUCUGAGUGACAGCCACCGCCUCCCACACGCCCUCUCCGUUUUGGUAAACAAGCAGACUCCAACCCGCAGUCCGUACAUAAGGGAGGAACCUGGGGGCGGGGUCAGGGAGCAGGUAUGCGCCUUCCUAUUGGUGGUUCACAAAGGGCGGAGAAACCUGGGAUUUCUGAUUGACCUUCUUCCCUGUCUGUAAGGAGAUUGACGGCGCUUGUCCUGCCGGGCCACGCCUCUCGGCUCCGUGCUCCUCCUCUCGCGGGUUGGUGUCCGCCCCGAGCAGCAGAGCGCGUGCGCAUGCGGCCCCACGCCGCAGCAGAGCCCGCCCGCCGUACCACGCACCCUGGCAGUCAGUGGGUGAGCCGGGAGCUGCGGAGGUCACCGUGGGGAGGCGGGGCGGGGGCAGCAUGGCAGCCUCCUUAUGGCUCCGUGGAGCCGCCUCCGGCCUCCGGUAUUGGAGCCGCCGGCAGCCUCCGGCAGUGGCCAGCCUUGCANCAGUAAAAACCUAUGCAGAAGAGUGGAUUUCCUCUCUNNNNNNNNNNNNNNNNNNNNNNNNNNNNNNNNNNNNNNNNNNNNNNNNNNNNNNNNNNNNNNNNNNNNNNNNNNNNNNNNNNNNNNNNNNNNNNNNNNNAAAAACCUAUGCAGAAGAGUGGAUUUCCUCUCUGGUUUGAAAAAAGAAAGCUCGCUGUGAUGAGAGAAAACAGAUGUCUGAUACAGAAUCACACUAAUAAGAUACAAACUCACAGAAUUUGUCAAACUGGAGUGUAACCACUGCUUGAUCUACAUCUAUUAAACUACAGACAAUGCCUCCCACGUUGGAGAUAUUAAAAACACAACACUUUUCUGCAAUAGUAAAUGUAGCGCCAGUUUUCAGAUGAAUGUGUGAUUCUUUCAGUUUUGAUUAGUCAAAGAAGACAUAUGUGCUGUUUAGUGGUUUUACAAGGUGUUCUAAUGAUAUUUUAAUGAACCCUUGAAGUACCUUUUAGAGUUACGAAAGUUCUUAAAAUUCAUGGAAGAGGAGUCAGAGGCCUUUGACUAUAAUAAAUGCUUCUCUAGACUGGAAAGGCCUACCUUGAAACAUUGAUAGACUACUUUGGCAUAUAAUGUUGUUUACCCAAAGACAUUGUAAUAAGGUAGAUAUAUGACAAAUUUUGAAUUUUUUUUGUUUGGUGUGUGUGUGAUGAUUGUUUAAAAUGCUUCAGUAUUCUUACUCUGGAAUUGUUUUAAAUGUUUUUGUUAAUUUACUACAAAAGUGUUAACUUUUUUGAUGUUGGAGUCUUAAAAAUUACAUGCCAAUUUGGAGUCUAGGGACAUUAAGAAAAACAGCCAAGUUCAAAUAGUAACAUUAUUUAGUGUUCUAAAUUCUGUAGACUGUCUCCAUGGUAUGUUGAACAUGUUUAUAUCAUGUGGAGGGUAAUAUUAUAAAGAUCUGUACAGUUAUUUACAGUUUGAAAAAAAUAAGAUCUAGUAGUUACUGGUUAAUAGCUUAUCUUAAUUUUAAUAUUUAAAGCAUUAAAAAGGAAAUAGAAAAGUGAGAAGCAUUAAACUAGCCAUACAUUACUAUUGCAUCACCAUUUAAUAAAAGUAAGUUUUGUGUCUUAUCUUAAAAGGCAAUUAAAUUUAGUUUCAGACUUCUUUGUACAGACAAAAUAAUUACAGAUGUUGACCCUCUAUAGCCAUUGUGAUUCACUAACAAGUACAAGUAAAAAUAAAUUUGUAACAGAUCAUCUUAAAGUGACCACCUGAGCAAAAUUGGAAUGGGAAAAUUAGCCAGAAUUAUAGACAGAAAUGGGAAUACAUUUCUUUAUUAUUGACACUGUGGGUGUAUGAAAUCUGCUUUUAAAACAGCAUAACUCCUUGUGUAAAUAAGACUAAUGGCAUUUUUUUUCUCUUUGCAUUAGCUUCUAGGGUUGCACAUGAAGCUCUGAGAAGCUGCACAUGACCUUGGGACCAAAAGUUGACCUUAAUAUUGCAUAAGGAAAAUACAAUUGACCUUUGAACAAAAUCGGUUUGAACUGCAAGGGUCAGCUUAAAAAUUUUUUUUUUUCAAUGAAUUUGUACUACAGUUGGUUUAUGCAGAUUUGGAACCAUGGAUGUGGAGGGCCAACUACAAAUUAUAUUUGGAUUUUGUGAGGAGCGUCACAAAACCCCCACUUGUUCAGAGGUCAACUGUAUUUCUAAAAUAACUUGAUGCAAAUAAUAGAAGCCUUUAUAGAGUCACUACCGUUAGUCUAGUAAUAUUUAGCAUUAACACAAAAGGAAUGCUUAUGACAUAAUAUGUGAUAAAGUAGGACACCAAGUUGUAUAUACAACAUGUGUCAUGAUAUAAUCUAAAAAAUGCAUUCAGAAGACUGGUAGGGCUGUACAGAAAGCUAACUGGUUAUUUUUGUGUAGUGAAAUUAACUUUUUCCCGUAUGACUUUAUUAGUUGUUGUUUAGUUGCUAAGUCAUGUCUGACUCUUUGUGGACUGUAGCACACCAGGCUCAUCUGUCCAUGGGAUUCUCCAGGCAAAAAUACUGGAGUGUUGCCAUUUCCUUCUCCAAGGGAUCUUCACAACCCAGGGAUCUAACCCAUGUUUCCUGCAUUGGCAGGCAGAUUCUUUAUCACUGAGCCAUUAGGGAAGCACCUUUUUCAUAUUUUCCAGUUUUUUACAAUGAAUUACUUUGAUGCAAGGAAAAAAAAAACUUUUGGAAAUAUAAUUAACCUCUUACCAAUUUUUGCAUUUUUAUACUUGGAGUAGCCUGAUUUGGGUUGACAGUGUUAACAAGAUAUGGGUAAUUUUGUCCAUGUACCAUUGGAGAAAGAGGUCGUAACCUAUAAUUUUACAGCUAUCAAUUUAGAGAUUAACUUUGCCAAAUUUUCUGGCUAUUUCUUCCUCCUAUGUGGUGGUACUGAGAAUCACAGAGGUUUGCUGAUUAGAUACAAUCGUUUCUUUAAUCUCUAUUUCAUUUCCUAGUACAUGUUCAUAUUUUUCAGAGCUUCUCUAAAUCUUUUACUCAGUGUUACCAGUCUAUGAACAGUCAGUUGCAGAGAGAUGGCAGUACAUAAUUGGUUUAGAUAACUUGGAGGUUGACUCUAGGUCUGGGAGGAAAGGAUAUUGGAGAGUAAACCUGAAAUGUUUGUUUAAUGGUUGCUGUAAUACCAAUUAAAUUAAUUGUUUGCUGGAUCCAUUUUAUCAUUAUCUUUUGUUUUGUUGAUUUUUAUCCCCAUUUGAUGAAACCUCUCUCUAGUUAGUAAUUCAUUCAUAUAACAUUAUUAAACAAACUGUGUGCCACCAGGGCACAUUUUAUUAUAGAAGUAGUUAUAAACGUCGUUUUACCAUAUGCACAUGGUAAAAACUCAAAAGGUGAUAGAAUGGAAAGUGAGACUCUGUGCCAUCAGUCCAACUCUUUAGCUGUAACUGCUGUUUCUUACGUGUCUUACAGAAAUUUGAAAGAAUUUAAUGCAUGUGUAUUCUUUUUUUCUGACUUCUUACUUCCUUGGUGGCUCAGGAGUGAAGAAUCUGCCUGCAGUGCAGGAGAUGCGGGUUUGAUCCCUGCGUCUGGAAGAUCACCUGGAGAAGGAAAG
ensembl:lncRNA